UUUCCGUAGGUGAACCUGCGGAAGGAUCAUUCAUAAUAAAGUGUUUGAUGGCACUUUUUAAAGAUCCAUAUCCAACUUGUGUGCAAUGUUAGAUCUCGUCAAUCUUGGCGAGAUUUUUAUACAUCAACUCAUUCUUUAACUAAUUUGUCUGAAAAAUAUGAUGAAUACUUGAUUCAAAAUACAACUUUCAACAACGGAUCUCUUGGCUCUC
rnacentral:misc_RNA from 1 species